AUGAAGUAUCCAGAUCGGAUAACUCUCAUUAGAGGGAACCAUGAGAGCCGUCAAAUCACACAGGUAUAUGGAUUCUAUGAUGAGUGCCUACGUAAAUAUGGCUCUGUGAACGUUUGGAGAUAUUGCACCGAUAUAUUUGAUUACUUAAGUCUGUCAGCCCUCAUUGAGAACAAAAUUUUCAGUGUCCAUGGAGGUCUCUCUCCUGCCAUAACAACAUUGGAUCAGAUACGAACAAUUGAUCGGAAGCAAGAAGUACCUCAUGAUGGUGCUAUGUGUGACCUCUUGUGGUCUGAUCCUGAAGAUAUUGUGGAUGAUUGGGUUUGAGUCCCCGUGGUGCUGGCUUCCUAUUUGGCGGCAGUGUUGUUACUUCUUUCAACCAUACAAACAACAUUGACUACAUAUGUCGUGCUCAUCAGUUGGUAAUGGAAGGAUAUAAAUGGAUGUUCAAUAACCAGAUAGUUACAGUCUGGUCAGCUCCAAAUUACUGCUACAGAUGUGGUAAUGUAGCUGCAAUCCUUGAGCUAGAUGAGAAUCUUAACAAGCAGUUUCGUGUGUUUGAUGCUGCUCCACAGGAAUCAAGAGGGGCCCCUGCCAAGAAACCUGCACCAGAUUACUUUUUAUGAAACCAAUUUAGUAUAGUGUCACUUUUUAUCAUUCAACAUGCUUGCAUUGAUAGACAAGAAGAUAUACGGUCACAUGGAGAUCUCAUGUAAUACCAAAGGAACAGAGGUGGAAUAGAGGUUGGCUGCUCAAUGAUCAGUUCCCUGAAAUGACCACCAAGGGGUGUACUUUCCAGUUCGUGAUCGGUUUAGAUUAUUGGGUUGGCAUUUCUUGUUUGUCUGCUUCUACCAUCUUUGUUGUUAAUGUGUAAUUGUAGCAUGCAUUGCAUAGUCUAUGCCAGUGAAUCAUUGAAUAUAGAAUCCCUAUCCUUGUUCAUUUGAUGGUAGAGAGAGACAGGUCUUGGAAAGGAGAAGCUCUGGUUCCAUCAACAGGAGUAUGAAUAGGAAGUACUGGAUUAGGAAAUGAGGAGGGAAUUAUUCUGAACAUCCAUGGAAAAAGACAUUCAUGUUGGGUUUUGUUUGUCCUCUUGGACAAUAAAAGUUCCUCACGAUUAUCUUCUUCUAUAUGUUACAUUAAUUGUGAGACUUUGAAUAGUGUACUAAAGAUUAAUAGCCAAUCCCAAAAUUAUGGGAUUAUGGCUUGAUUGUUAUUGUUGCUAUCUGCAUGUAAAACUCUGCUGCCCCUUGUGUACCACUUUACUAGUACUCAGGACCUCACCCCAUUUUGACCGAGAAAAAGUUGUAAUGCAUCAAGUGAACUGUGAGAAUAUUUUUGAAAGAUAUGUCCAAUAUCAUGGAUACCAUUUUCUUUCC